rnacentral:rRNA from 1 species
GAUGAACGCUGGCGGCGUGCCUAAUACAUGCAAGUCGAGCGAACGGACGAGAAGCUUGCUUCUCUGAUGUUAGCGGCGGACGGGUGAGUAACAUGUGGAUAACCUACCUAUCAGACUGGGAUAACUUCGGGAAACCGGAGCUAAUACCGGAUGAUAUUUUGACCCGCAUGGUUCAAACGUGAAAGACGGUCUUGCUGUCACUUAUAGAUGGAUCCGCGCUGCAUUAGCUAGUUGGUAAGGUAACGGCUUACCAAGGCAACGAUGCAUAGCCGACCUGAGAGGGUGAUCGGCCACACUGGAACUGAGACACGGUCCAGACUCCUACGGGAGGCAGCAGUAGGGAAUCGUCCGCAAUGGGCGAAAGCCUGACGGAGCAACGCCGCGUGAGUGAUGAAGGUCUUCGGAUCGUAAAACUCUGUUAUUAGGGAAGAACAUAUGUGUAAGUAACUGUGCACAUCUUGACGGUACCUAAUCAGAAAGCCACGGCUAACUACGUG